GGGUAUAAAGGGUAGUCGCGAGGCGGUUCUGUAAGUCCAAGGAUGUGAAAGUCCCCGGGCGUUAACCUGGGAACUGCGUUUGAAACUGCAGAGCUAGAGUGCGGCAGAGGGAGGUGGAAUUCCAUGUGUAGCAGUGAAAUGCGUAGAGAUAUGGAAGAACAUCGAUGGCGAAGGCAACCUCCUGGGCUAGCACUGACGCUCAUGCACGAAAGCGUGGGGAGCAAACAGGAUUAGAUACCCUGGUAGUCCACGCCCUAAACUAUGUCAACUAGUUGUCGGGUCUUAAUAGACUUGGUAACGUAGCUAACGCGUGAAGUUGACCGCCUGGGGAGUACGGUCGCAAGAUUAAAACU
rnacentral:rRNA from 1 species